rnacentral:rRNA from 1 species
AUUGAACGCUGGCGGAAUGCUUUACACAUGCAAGUCGAGCGGCAGCGCGGGGCAACCUGGCGGCGAGCGGCGAACGGGUGAGUAAUGCAUCGGAACGUACCCAGUCGUGGGGGAUAACUGUCCGAAAGGACAGCUAAUACCGCAUACGUCCUGAGGGAGAAAGCGGGGGAUCGCAAGACCUCGCGCGAUUGGAGCGGCCGAUGCCGGAUUAGCUAGUUGGUAGGGUAAAGGCCUACCAAGGCGACGAUCCGUAGCUGGUCUGAGAGGACGACCAGCCACACUGGAACUGAGACACGGUCCAGACUCCUACGGGAGGCAGCAGUGGGGAAUUUUGGACAAUGGGGGCAACCCUGAUCCAGCCAUUCCGCGUGAGUGAAGAAGG